CAACGAUGUCUACUUGGGAGGUUGUGGCCUUGAGCCGUGGCUUUCGGAGCUAACGCGUUAAGUAGACCGCCUGGGGAGUACGGUCGCAAGAUUAAAACUCAAAUGAAUUGACGGGGGCCCGCACAAGCGGUGGAGCAUGUGGUUUAAUUCGAUGCAACGCGAAGAACCUUACCUACUCUUGACAUCCAGAGAACUUAGCAGAGAUGCUUUGGUGCCUUCGGGAACUCUGAGACAGGUGCUGCAUGGCUGUCGUCAGCUCGUGUUGUGAAAUGUUGGGUUAAGUCCCGCAACGAGCGCAACCCUUAUCCUUGUUUGCCAGCGAGUAAUGUCGGGAACUCCAGGGAGACUGCCGGUGAUAAACCGGAGGAAGGUGGGGACGACGUCAAGUCAUCAUGGCCCUUACGAGUAGGGCUACACACGUGCUACAAUGGCGCAUACAGAGGGCGGCCAACUUGCGAAAGUGAGCGAAUCCCAAAAAGUGCGUCGUAGUCCGGAUUGGAGUCUGCAACUCGACUCCAUGAAGUCGGAAUCGCUAGUAAUCGUGGAUCAGAAUGCCACGGUGAAUACGUUCCCGGGCCUUGUACACACCGCCCGUCACACCAUGGGAGUGGGCUGCAAAAGAAGCAGGUAGUUUAACCUUCGGGAGGA
rnacentral:rRNA from 1 species